GUAGGCGGAUAGUCAAAAAUUUAGUAAAAAACUGAGGUCGGCCCUCUUUGUGCUAAGUUCACUAGCUAUUUGGGUUUUAAGGACGAGUUUCGAAUCCUUUCAGUAAGGGUUAAAUCUGUUGAUAAUAGGAGACGUUCAAAGGCGAAAGCAAUUCAUCGACUUAAAUCGACGCUAAGGUACGAAAGCAUGGGUAUAAAGAGGAUUAGAGACCCUCGUAAUCCACGCGUAAACCAUGAGUGUUCAACAGCCUUUUGCGGUAGUGUAACUACUUCGUUAUUAGGUGAUUUGAAGCUAACGCGUAAAACACCGCCUGGGGAAUGUGGCCGCAAGGUUAAACUCAAAGGAAUUGACGGAGACUCAUACAAGG
rnacentral:rRNA from 1 species